rnacentral:lncRNA from 1 species
UUCUUUUUUCUUUUUCUUUUCUCUUUUUCAAUUUGUAUUUGGUAUCCAUUUGAAUUUCUACAGUUUUAUUUAUCCAUGGUUCAAUUCAAAUUGUUUAAUAACUGCAGAGGCCACUAAAAGCUAAAUUCGCAAAAUUAAAGCUGCUGUGAUGGAUCAACUAUCAUACAUGAAUAACCACUUAAAUUUAAUAUAUAAGUAAAUUUCCUCCAAUUGUCUGCUCAGGAUUGAACUCUGUCUCUUAAAAGCAGUUUUUGAUGAAUUUCGAACGUAUAUCAAGAGCGUCUUUUAUUAAUUUGAACACAAAAUUGAAUAACCCAUUCAAAAUAAAAAUAUAAAAAUAACCCAUUCCAGAAGAAAUUUAAAAGAAAAAUGUGCCUAAUCUUGUGGAAAAUAUUAGUAACAGGACUAGUCCUGCACCUAAGACAAUAAAAAGAAACAACUCCAAAUUAACUUGAUCCCCUAUUCCCACAGACAAAUGGGUGAACCGCAGCCUUUUUCUUCUAUAGGUUGUGUUUGAAAUUGAUAUUGGACAGCUGUAAUUUUUACAGUUAUGUUGAUAUAAUUUUUUACUUGUAUAAUAAAAAUUUAUUAUAUCUUUAAUAAUUUCAUCAAAAUUAUUAUUUAAAAUUUAUAUUUACUAUAUAUUAUUAAUUUAUAUUUCAUAGUUAUGACUUUUUUUCUAUAACUUAAAAAUUACAGCACCUCAAUCCCAAAGAUACUCAUAAUGACUCAUGAGUUAGUUCCUCUCUUAUCUCUUUUGUUAUGUAACUUGUGUAAAAGGCAUCUAUUUCGCUAUGAUAAUAUAAAAAAUUGAGUAAUCCCAAUGAAUUUUCUCUUUGAAAAACUAAAUUGCAAAUAUUUUAAAGAUGAAGAAAGGGGUUGAUGUAAAAUAGGUGAUAAUGUUUCUAGAAACAAAAAUUGCUGCGAAUUGUGAACGCUCAAAUGCCUUGAAAACGCGCACAAAAUACGGAAUUGGAACAUCGACUGGACAAAAGUUUGUUCGCGGUUUCACACGACAAAAUCAACUAGAAAACGACAAUUACGUAUUCGCUGAUGCAAAUGAAACAAAUCUCCACCGUCCAUGUACAGGUAUAGAUUUGACGCAUCUUAGUAGCUCUACUCCACGCGUAACUGAAGUUGCCAUCCACGUGUAAGCCACAUAUUUCACAAUCCAUAUCACACACGAGCGGGGCUCCGGACGCCAAACUCUAUAAAAUCCUGCUCAAUGCUCCGCUGUUGUGCAAGUCGUUACCUUCUUAAACGAAAUCUCGGAAUCGCAACUUCCCUUAUUUUGACAAGACAUUUCACUUCGAAUUGUAAGCAAACCCUGUUGAGACCUUCGAAAAGUAAUCCAAUUUCUUUGGUUUCAAGGCCUUGUUUCUUCGCUUCUAGAUCGGAUCAUACAAUGGCAAGCCAAUCGAAAACUUCAGUUCACGAUUUCAGUGUUAAGGUCCGCUUUAUUAUUAUUAUUAUUAUUGGGUUCUUGCUUGUCAUUUUCCUUCCCUCCUUUUGAUUUUUAAUUCAAUUUGGGAUUUGACAAAUAUAUCUAUUUUUAUUUUUAUGAAAUUUAUCAUAUUUGCAGGACGCCAAGGGACAGGAUGUUGAUCUGAGCAUCUACAAGGGAAAGCUUCUUUUGAUUGUCAAUGUUGCAUCACAGUGGUAUGCCUCAGCUCCUUUCAUUUUUUACUUUUUUUUUUUUUUUUAAGUAAUGAUUCAUUGAUUAUUGUUGAUGCUUCCAUUUAAUUAACGCUAAUACUCAGAAGCAUGCAUGCUUUCAAUACAAAUAAGCAUUUGUAGGAGAUGAUUUCACCCGGAGACUCUUUAAUUCUUGCGCAGUGCCGGCGACAGUUUUUUUUAUUUUUUUUUCCUUUAUCCGUUUUAUUCAUUUACCUGAUUUUGAA